CCUACGGGGGACUGCAGUCGAGAAUCAUUCACAAUGGGGGAAACCCUGAUGGUGCGACGCCGCGUGGGGGAAUGAAGGUCUUCGGAUUGUAAACCCCUGUCAUGUGGGAGCAAAUUAAAAAGAUAGUACCACAAGAGGAAGAGACGGCUAACUCUGUGCCAGCAGCCGCGGUAAUACAGAGGUCUCAAGCGUUGUUCGGAAUCACUGGGCGUAAAGCGUGCGUAGGCUGUUUCGUAAGUCGUGUGUGAAAGGCGCGGGCUCAACCCGCGGACGCCACAUGAUACUGCGAGAAUAGAGUAAUUGAUGGGGAACCGGAGUUCGGGGUGUAGCAGUGAAAUGCGGAGAGAUGGAGAGGAACACGCGUGGCGAGGGCGGGUUCCUGGACAUUAACUGACGCUGAGGCACGAAGGCCAGGGGAGCGAAAGGGAUUAGAUACCCUAGUAGUC
rnacentral:rRNA from 1 species